GUACGGUCGCAAGGCUGAAACUUAAAGGAAUUGGCGGGGGAGCACCACAAGGGGUGGAGGCUGUGGUUUAAUUGGAUACAACGCCGGACAUCUCACCGGGGAAAACGGCAGAAUGAAGGUCAGUCUGAAGGGCUUACCAGACAAGCCGAAAGGUGGUGCAUGGCCAUCGUCAGCUCGUGCUGUGAAGUGUCCUGUCAAGUCAGGCAACGAGCGAGACCCACGCCUCUAGUUGCCACCCACAUCAUUGCGAUGUGGAGCACUCUAGAGGGACUGCCGCUGCUAAAGCGGAGGAAGGAGUGGGCGACGGUAGGUCAGUAUGCCCCCAAUUUCCCGGGCUACACACGGCCUACAUUGGCAGCCACAACGGGAUGCAACACCGAAAGGUGAAGCUAAUCCCUUAAAAGCUGCCCAAGUGCGGAUCGAGGCUUGAAACUCAGCCUCGUGAAGAUGGAAUCCCUAGUAAUCGCGAGUCACUAUCUCGCGGUGAAUAAGUCCCUGCUCCUUGCACACACCGCCUGCCAAGCCAAACAAGCGGGGCCUUGGUGAGCUGUUAUCCUUUGGGUAGCAGCGAAUCUAGGCUCUGUGAGUGGGGCUAAGGCAUAACAAGGUAGCCGUAGGGGAACCUGCGGCUAGAUCACCUCCUUUC
rnacentral:rRNA from 1 species